rfam:Nasonia vitripennis chromosome 5 unlocalized genomic scaffold Chr5_random001, whole genome shotgun sequence.
AAGACUCGUUGUGGCAGGGUUGGGGUUUCUAUGCGGCAUGUGCCUUGUCUUUCAAUAUUGCAAUGCCCUUGGAAAUCCCAAAAAUGCCCAACACGUCC